rnacentral:rRNA from 1 species
CCUACGGGAGGCAGCAGUGGGGAAUAUUGGGCAAUGGGCGCAAGCCUGACCCAGCAACGCCGCGUGAAGGAAGAAGGCUUUCGGGUUGUAAACUUCUGUUGAGAGGGAAGAGCAGAAGACGGUACCUCUUGAAUAAGCUACGGCUAACUACGUGCCAGCAGCCGCGGUAAUACGUAGGUGGCAGGCGUUGUCCGGAUUUACUGGGUGUAAAGGGCGUGUAGCCGGGCUGAUAAGGCAGAUGUGAGAUUCCGGGGCUCAACCCCGGACCUGCAUUUGAAACUGUGGGUCUUGAGUAUAGGAGAGGAAGGUGGAAUCCCUGGUGUAGCGGUGAAAUGCGUAGAUAUUAGGAGGAACACCAGUGGCGAAGGCGGCCUUCUGGACGACAACUGACGGGGAGGCGCGAAAGCGUGGGGAGCAAACAGGAGUAGAUACCCCAGUAGUC